rnacentral:rRNA from 1 species
UACGUAGGGGGCAAGCGUUGUCCGGAAUCAUUGGGCGUAAAGCGCGUGUAGGCGGCCAGGUAAGUCCGUUCUGAAAGCCCGGGGCUCAACCCCGGGAGGCGGAUGGAUACUGCUUGGCUCGAGUCCGGAAGAGGCGAGUGGAAUUCCCGGUGUAGCGGUGAAAUGCGCAGAUAUCGGGAGGAACACCAAUGGCGAAGGCAGCUCGCUGGGACGGUACUGACGCUGAGACGUGAAAGCGUGGGGAGCAAACAGG